rnacentral:rRNA from 1 species
UCCUACGGGAGGCAGCAGUGGGGAAUAUUGCGCAAUGGAGGGAACUCUGACGCAGCGACGCCGCGUGAAGGAAGAAGGCCUUCGGGUUGUAAACUUCUUUGAUCGGGGACGAAAAUGACGGUACCCGAGGAACAAGCCACGACUAACUACGUGCCAGCAGCCGCGGUAAUACGUAGGUGGCGAGCGUUGUCCGGAAUUACUGGGUGUAAAGGGCGUGUAGGCGGGGCGUCAAGUCAGGUGUGAAAUUCCGAGGCUUAACUUCGGGUGUGCAUCUGAAACUGAUGUUCUUGAGUGUCGGAGAGGAAAGUGGAAUUCCCAGUGUAGCGGUGAAAUGCGUAGAGAUUGGGAGGAACACCAGUGGCGAAGGCGGCUUUCUGGACGAUAACUGACGCUGAGGCGCGAAAGCGUGGGUAGCAAACAGGAUUAGAUACCCUGGUAGUCCACGCCGUAAACGAUGGAUACUAGGUGUAGGAGGUAUCGACCCCUUCUGUGCCGGAGUUAACACAAUAAGUAUCCCACCUGGGGAGUACGGCCGCAAGGCUGAAACUCAAAGGAAUUGACGGGGGCCCGCACAAGCAGUGGAGUAUGUGGUUUAAUUCGAAGCAACGCGAAGAACCUUACCAGGGCUUGACAUCCCUCUGACAGGUAUAGAGAUAUACUUUCUUUUCGAAGCAGAGGAGACAGGUGGUGCAUGGUUGUCGUCAGCUCGUGUCGUGAGAUGUUGGGUUAAGUCCCGCAACGAGCGCAACCCCUGUUGUUAGUUGCCAUCAUUAAGUUGGGCACUCUAACGAGACUGCCGGUGACAAAUCGGAGGAAGGUGGGGACGACGUCAAAUCAUCAUGCCCCUUAUGUCCUGGGCUACACACGUACUACAAUGGCGGUGACAAAGGGAAGCAAGACCGCGAGGUGGAGCAAAUCCCCAAAAGCCGUCCCAGUUCGGAUUGCAGGCUGCAACUCGCCUGCAUGAAGUCGGAAUUGCUAGUAAUGGCAGGUCAGCAUACUGCCGUGAAUACGUUCCCGGGCCUUGUACACACCGCCCGUCACACCAUGAGAGCUGACAACACCCGAAGUCGGUAGCUUAACCGUAAGGAGGGCGCCGCCGAAGGUGGGGUUGGUGAUUGGGGGUGAAGUCGUAACAAGGUAACCA